UGAUCAGUUUUGGAGUGCGUGUCAGGUGUGCAUUUACAUCAAAAAUUUGUGAUGUCUGUAAAUGCACUAUCUGGUACGACAUUCCAGAAUAAACAGUCGC
rnacentral:pre_miRNA from 1 species